rnacentral:tRNA from 1 species
GCUCAGGUGCUGGAAUUGGAAGACAACAGGGCCUUAAAAUCCCUGGAGCGAAGUCUCGUGCGGGUUCAAGCCCCGUCCUGAGUACCA